UUAUAUAUAGAGGAACUGUCACGAGCCAUCAGCGGUCAAAUCUUCAAGCUGGAUGCAAAAUACUCUUGUCGCGAUCGCGGGGCGACUCAAGGAUUUUCUCGACCGUGGAGUAUUUGACUUCACCGGGGGUCAGGUUUUAAAUUUUGGACGAAGCUGAUCGAAUGCUUGCAAUGAGUUUCGGCCCCAAUAUUGAAAAAAUUGUCAACCACCCAACGAAAAUAUUGGCGGCGUAAACUAUGUCGUAAUUUAUGACUUGCCAACUGAUAUUGAAGAGUAUGUUCAAUCGUGUUGAUCGAAUGGGCCGCGUGGUAAAUGUUGGAAAACCAAUAAGCUUCUUCGACGAAGAAAGAGAUGACUGCUGGAAAGUUUGUGUCUUUGUUAACUAAGGUAAGAACCUACUCUAGUUUGACAUCUAAUUUUAUUUCUCUGCCCUUGUGUUCGUUUUAAUAAUCCUACGUAUUUUUAUUUAUUUUUUUCCUCCAACGCCGAUGUACCGCCAUUCAUGCAAGCGAUGGUCUCAGGUGGGAAUGGGUUACGACUUAAGCGCCCCUUCGACUCAAGGGGGCUUUGCUAGUCGAUAAAUGCGCCGAAUCGGCGAUAGACCUGGAUUUGUUGCCUUGCCUAAUGAAGUUGAAGAAAGCUGUGAUUAACUCAAUGUCGUUCACCUGGUUGGCUUAUUUCGAGUAAUCCAAAACCAAAAUUCUUUUCCAAGAACAUCUUGGAACUUUCCUGCAAUGCCUACUUGCAAAUUUGAUGUGUUUAUUUUGCUUACC